rnacentral:rRNA from 1 species
GACAGAGGCCACAAGCGUUAGGCGGAAUCACUGGGCUUAAAGCGUGUGUAGGCGGAUGACUAAGUGCUUUGUGAAAUCCCACGGCUCAACCGUGGAAUUGCUUGGCAUACUGGUUGUCUUGAGCCAUUCAGGGGCAGCUGGAACAAACGGUGGAGCGGUGAAAUGCGUAGAUAUCGUUUGGAACGCCAAAGGCGAAAGCAGGCUGCUGGGAAUGCGCUGACGCUGAGACACGAAAGCCAGGGGAGCAAACGGG